AGCUCACUGAACCUCUCUGAUGGCUGCCCGAUCGUUCUGAUGCUAGGCUGAAGCUCCUGACAGACUCACACCAGUAUCUUGCUGCUCCAGAAAGGUCGAAGAUGGCAGUUUUCCCAAACUCCGGCUUGCCCAGAUGUCUGCUCACCCUCAUUCUUCUCCAGCUGCCCAAGCUGGUUUCAGAUAGGUCUCUCUCUCUGGCCUGCAGAGUUAAAACAUCUCAAUAAAUAUAAAGUAUAAAAAGAAGCUGGAGCCCAACCACUUCGGCACAUGUUCACAGGAUCUCGGGGCUGUGUCACAAGCCACUGGGCACUCAUAUCUGGCUGAGAAUAAAUCUCUUGCAAUAUUUUACAGAGUUUGACUCUUUUUGUUUGACAAAAUAAAUUCAACUCAUAACUGCUGAGUUUGGGCUCUGGGCUGUGGAGUUGUCUGGAAAUGGGUGCUGGGCUCCCACUGCUGCCUUUCACUCAAGGCCCCCAGAUAUAGCAACCAUCUCUUAGUAUGUAAAGAUCUGAUCUCAAAUCAUCAGGAGCUUCCAGGUUAUUUCAUUUUCCUUUUUUUCUCUUCUUUUCACCGAUGUUUGACGUCCAGGUUAUUUCUAAGGUGACAGAAAGAAGCAGAACACUUUCUUGUGCCUGAUUGAUCAGUUGAUGUUUUGUAGGCGAUAGGAUUCAGAUAGUAACAGUCCUCCAGUGCGUCCUUCCCACUCUCAUUUUCUUCCUCCUCCUCCUCACAUCUCAGCCCCAGAGGCCUAUUGAAGAAUUUCUAUUCAUUUUACAAAGAAGCUCCUGAAAUUUUUAUGUUAGUUUUGUCUUUUUAUUUUCCUCCUUCUUCUUCUUCCUCUUUUUCUUCUUCCUCUUCUUCUUCUUCACACCACUAUACAAAGGAGGAAGUUUAGUUUUGUCUUUUACUUUAAAUUACACAAGAUUUUUUUUUCUUUCUCUCUCUGUCUCUUUAUUAUUUUAA
rnacentral:lncRNA from 1 species